rnacentral:tRNA from 2 species
GCCGAUGUGGCUCAGCGGUAGAGCGACGGUUUCGUAAACCGUCGGCCGGGGGUUCAAAUCCCUCCAUCGGCUCCA